GAUGAACGCUGGCGGCGUGCUUAACACAUGCAAGUCGAACGAAGCAUUUAAGACAGAUUACUUCGGUUUGAAGUCUUUUAUGACUGAGUGGCGGACGGGUGAGUAACGCGUGGGUAACCUGCCUCAUACAGGGGGAUAGCACCUGGAAACGGCUGGUAAUACCGCAUAAGCGCACAGUACCACAUGGUACAGUGUGAAAAACUCCGGUGGUAUGAGAUGGACCCGCGUCUGAUUAGCUUGUUGGCGGGGUAACGGCACACCAAGGCGACGAUCAGUAGCCGACCGGGGAGGGUGACCGGCCACAAUGGGACUGCGGCACGGCCCAGAAUCCUACGGGAGGCAGCGGUGGGGAAUAUUGCAGAAUGAAGGCAAGUCUGAUGCAGCGGCGCCGGGGGAGUGAAGAAGUGGUUCGUUAUGUGAAGCUCUAUGAGCAGGGAAGAUAGUGACGGUACCUGACUAAGAAGCUCCGGCUAAAUACGUG
rnacentral:rRNA from 1 species